UGGCAGCGCACGCAAGGGGCGGAGGCGAGCGACCCUCUGGAGCCACGCACGUCGAGAGACCUGAGUGCGUCAUGUGCACCAGCAAGGUGUGCUUCCAUUUGGCAAGGGAGGAGCUCGAGCCGCAACGGUGGUCCACGGCGCCAUGGCCAUCCUCCUUGGCAGGAGGAGCAUGCGCCGCAGAGACGGCCGGAUCUGUCCAGCCCUCGCGCUGCUGUCCGUCCACCCUAGGGCGACCUGCUGAUUCCCGGAGCUCAUCACGCAUGAUGCAGAAAACGGAAGCCUCAUGAAGCCUGAUGCAUUACUACUCUGUGCAACAUGCAUCUCACCUUUUGUUGGUACUGGCUGUAGAUGCAGAAAACGGAACAUCUGCCUCCUUUUUUGGUGCGGAGAUGAGCCCCUAUGGUAAAUGAAUCUGCGGUAUGCAAGUACAGGUCAUUUUAUAAGAAGGGGAUGCAUUAUUUUCUGGAAAAUCGUUUACGCCAAGAGAUAGAAGACCUGGAGAAGGACACUGGGUAUAAGUUGAGAGUUCUCGCACAAAAUCAUCCGGACACACCGUAAAAUGGAUAGAUGACCCGUUUGCGCCUCAAGAAGUCAUAGGCAGGACCAAAUGUGAUGUAAUUACUUUCAAUAGUGCUUCAGCUCUGCAAUCGACAGUUUGACCUCAUGCUAGGGCAGCCUCAGCCAGUUGCCUCUUCUAUCAAAGUGCUGAUGGAAGACAUCCUGAGUCCUUAUUGCAUGCUAGAGAACAACAACUAUCUUGUUGGUGAUUCCCCUGAUAUUUGGUUCUACAAGUGUGGCAUAUGGACCAAUGAAAGCAAAGAUAUUCUGAAUGUAAUAGCUAUAUGGGUUGUGCCAAAUGGUUUAACAGUGGAAGCGUCACGCUUAAGUACCUGUGGAAGUGUACUAUGCAAGCAUUAUCAGACAAUGCAAUGACACCCUGUUUGUACAUUCACACCCUUUGAAUGCCGCAAUCAGACUAAGAAGAUGCCUAAA